rnacentral:rRNA from 1 species
AACGUAGGAGACAAACGUUAUCCGGAGUUACUGGGCGUAAAGGGCGUGUAGGUGGUUGUGUAAGUCUGGCGUGAAAUUUUUCGGCUUAACCGGGAAAGGUCGUCGGAUACUGCAGAACUAGAGGACGGUAGAGGCGUGUGGAAUUCCGGGUGUAGUGGUGAGAUGCGUAGAGAUCCGGAGGAACACCAGUGGCGAAGGCGACACGCUGGGCCGUACCUGACACUGAUGCGCGACAGCAUGGGGAGCAAACAGG